rnacentral:lncRNA from 1 species
GCGGGGGAUGCCGCAAAGAUGGUCUCGCCCAACCGUGGGGCCAGGCACCCUCCUCCCCCCCCCCCCCGGUUCAAGUUUCUGUGCCGGGGACGCGGCCUGGGCCAAUCCCAGGACUACAAGGCGGUUUUAAAAUGCAGGUGGAAACCCCUGGGAAAGGCCAAGGAAGGUUUUCCACCCUGGACAUAAAGCUGGGGUCCAGAGGCACACAGCAACGGGAGAACCUUGCCCCGCCCCGCAUCGUUGCGGGGCAUUCGGAUCUUCCUACAGCCUGUAAGUCGAGUCCCUAAAGCGCUUCUGCAGUGAGCAGGCCGAGGGGAGGGUGCGUUUCCCCUGGACCUGCAAGGAGAUAACCCACCCCGGGCGCACGCACACCGGGGUAAGCUACCCAGGGCCUGGAGCGCGUGCCCGCGCAGCAGCUGACAUCCCUUUUACCGUUACUCAGCCGUUUACUGAACCACUGCGUGUGCCCUCUCACACCUUCCCCGGCGCGGGGGGGAUUCUACCCGGACAAGACUACAGCUGAGGGUACUUGGCAUUCUUGGGAGGUGUAUGAUAACGUGAGAAGAUACUGUGAGGCUGUCUGCAGCACUAUACAGGGAAAUCGGUUGCCUUAGAUCUUGUUUUCUGGGAGGGGCUAGGACGUAGGAGCUUGGAUCUGAGCCGGUGCAACAAGGACAAAGGUAAUGAGGGAGGCUGUCCAGGUGGAGGGAGCAGCUAGUGGAGUGGCCUUAGGGGUUGGCCUGUUAGUGGCCGGUUCAAGGGGAGGCGGGGCCGGUGAGAUGGCUCAGCAGGUAGAAGCCUGAUGCCUAAAUCUGAACACCUGAAUGGAUUCCCAGGACCCACGUGAUGGAAGGACAGACCCUACUCCCUCAAGUUGUUCUCUGACCCCCCAUAUGUGGGCCAUAGCAUGCAAAACCUUCACCCACAAAUAAAUAAAUGUAAUAUUUAAAAAAAAAAAAAGGG